UACGGGGGGGGCAAGCGUUGUUCGGAAUUACUGGGCGUAAAGGGUUCGUAGGUGGCUUGCUAAGUCAGACGUGAAAUCCCUCAGCUUAACUGGGGAACUGCGUCUGAGACUGGUGAGCUUGAGUGCAGGAGAGGAACGCGGAAUUCCAGGUGUAGCGGUGAAAUGCGUAGAUAUCUGGAGGAACACCUGCGGUGUAGACGGCUUACUGGACCAUAACUGACGCUGAGGCACGAAAGCGUGGGUAGCAAACAGG
rnacentral:rRNA from 1 species